GUCUUAGUAACUCAGCGGUAGAGUGCCGAGCUGUUAACUCGGAAGUCAUUGGUUCGAAUCCAAUCUGAGACG
rnacentral:tRNA from 1 species